CAACCUGCGGAAGGAUCAUUACAGAAUGAAAAGUGCUUAACUGCAUUUUUUCUUACACAUGUGUUUUUCUUUUUUUGAAAACUUUGCUUUGGUAGGCCUUCUAUAUGGGGCCUGCCAGAGAUUAAACUCAACCAAAUUUUAUUUAAUGUCAACCGAUUAUUUAAUAGUCAAAACUUUCAACAACGGAUCUCUUGGUUCUCGCAUCGAUGAAGAACGCAGCGAAAUGCGAUAAGUAAUAUGAAUUGCAGAUAUUCGUGAAUCAUCGAAUCUUUGAACGCACAUUGCGCCCUUUGGUAUUCCAAAGGGCAUGCCUGUUUGAGCGUCAUUUCUCCCUCAAACCCUCGGGUUUGGUGUUGAGCGAUACGCUGGGUUUGCUUGAAAGAAAGGCGGAGUAUAAACUAAUGGAUAGGUUUUUUCCACUCAUUGGUACAAACUCCAAAACUUCUUCCAAAUUCGACCUCAAAUCAGGUAGGACUACCCGCUGAACUUAAGCAU
rnacentral:rRNA from 1 species